rnacentral:rRNA from 1 species
CGAGUCGAACCUUAUCGGAAUAUCUGGCGUAAAGCGGCGUAGUGGUCGUAGUCGAUUGAAAGCCCGGCUCACUGGACUGCAUCGAUACUGCAGACUAGAGUGCGGGAGGAGGAGUAGAUUCACGGGUAGCGGUGAAAUGCGUAGAUAUGUGAGGAAUACCAGUGGCGAAGGCGGCUCCUGGCUCGACACUGACACUGAGGUGCGAAAGCGUGGGAGCAAACAGGAUUAGAUACCUGGUAGUCACGCCGUAAACGAUGUCUACUAGCUGUAGGGGUACUUGAGACCUUUGUAGCGCAGCUAACGCACUAAGUAGACCGCCUGGGGAGUACGGCCGCAAGGUUAAAACUCAAAUGAAUUGACGGGGGCCCGCACAAGCAGUGGAGCAUGUGGUUUAAUUCGAUGCAACGCGAAGAACCUUACCAGGCCUUGACAUCCUCGGAACUUUCUAGAGAUAGAUUGGUGCCCUCGGGAACCGAGUGACAGGUGCUGCAUGGCUGUCGUCAGCUCGUGUCGUGAGAUGUUGGGUUAAGUCCCGUAACGAGCGCAACCCUUGUCCUUAGUUGCCAGCACUUCGGGUGGGAACUCUAAGGAGACUGCCGGUGACAAACCGGAGGAAGGUGGGGACGACGUCAAGUCAUCAUGGCCCUUACGGCCUGGGCUACACACGUGCUACAAUGGCUAGGACAGACGGCUGCAAACCCGCGAGGGGGAGCCAAUCCGACAAACCUAGUCGUAGUCCGGAUCGGAGUCUGCAACUCGACUCCGUGAAGUCGGAAUUGCUAGUAAUCGCGAAUCAGAAUGUCGCGGUGAAUACGUUCCCGGGCCUUGUACACACCGCCCGUCACACCAUGGGAGUGGGUUGCUCCAGAAGUGGUUAGUCUAACCUUCGGGAGGACGAUCACCACGGAGUGAUUCAUGACUGGGGUGAAGUCGUAACAAGGUAA